GCGUCGGUGGUGCAACGGUUAGCUUACGUUUCCCGAAAGAGUGAGAUCAGGGUUCGAAUCCCGGCUGACGCA